CUACGGGGGGGCUGCAGUGGGGAAUAUUGCACAAUGGGGGAAACCCUGAUGCAGCGACGCCGCGUGAAGGAUGAAGGUUUUCGGAUCGUAAACUUCUUUGAUGGGGGAAGAUAAUGACGGUACCCCAAAAACAAGCCACGGCUAACUACGUGCCAGCAGCCGCGGUAAUACGUAGGUGGCAAGCGUUGUCCGGAUUUACUGGGUGUAAAGAGCAUGUAGGCGGGGAUACAAGUCAGAUGUGAAAUCCUGUGGCUCAACCACAGACGUGCAUCUGAAACUGUAUUUCUUGAGUGUUGGAGAGGAAAGCGGAAUUCCUAGUGUAGCGGUGAAAUGCGUAGAUAUUAGGAGGAACACCGGUGGCGAAGGCGGCUUUCUGGACAACAACUGACGCUGAGAUGCGAAAGCGUGGGGAGCAAACAGGAUUAGAUACCCGGGUAGUC
rnacentral:rRNA from 1 species